AGUGAACGCUGGCGGUAGGCCUAACACAUGCAAGUCGAACGGCAGCACAGUAAGAGCUUGCUCUUACGGGUGGCGAGUGGCGGACGGGUGAGGAAUACAUCCGAAUCUACUUUUUCGUGGGGGAUAACGUAGGGAAACUUACGCUCAUACCGCAUACGACCUACGGGUGAAAGCAGGGGAUCUUCGGACCUUGCGCGGUUGAAUUCGCCGAUGUCGGAGUGGUUAGUUGGCGGGGUAAAGGCCCACCAAGGCGACUAUCCGUAGCCGGUCUGAGAGGAUGAUCAGCCACACUGGAACUGAGACACGGUCCAGACUCCUACGGGAGGCAGCAGUGGGGAAUAUUGGACAAAGGGCGCAAGCCUGAUCCAGCCAUACCGCGUGGGUGAAGGAGGCCUUCGGGUUGUAAAGCCCUUUUGUUGGGAAAGAAAAGCAGCAGGUUAAGACCCCGCUGUUCUGACGGUACCCAAAGAAUAAGCACCGGCUAACUUCGUG
rnacentral:rRNA from 1 species